UCGAAACCCAGGAAGCUUUGUGUGUUCCCCUAAUACGUCAUAUUUGCUUCGCCUUAAAAAAGUGAACGAGAAAUGCUUACUUUAUCCUUUUCGACACAUAGAUUGAUUUGGGACAUGUACAGUUGUGGUGGGCUCCUGCUCUCUGUUAUCCUGAAAGGGAAUGAGUGGACAGAUGGAUGAAAGAAUGGAUGGAGCAGCUCUGCACUGAAGUUACUUUAUUACACUUUGAUGUUCCUACUCCAUUGAUGAUUUUCUUUGACGAUGAACUUCUGCUGUUCCAGACUGUACAUUAUUUGGCAUGCUGGGUUUCUGGUCCUCUUCAUUGAUGCUGUCACUUUACCAUUUAAAGUAAACUGUAAGAAUCCACAGACUACACAGAUCAACAGGAACUUCACCCUUAAUUGCACAACAGAGGGACGAAAUAGCGACGAGCUCACUUUUGUUCAGUGGUAUAAAGGUGGUUCUGUUCUGGCUGUGUACACUGAGAACUCAAAUCACAAUGGGAAUGAUCAGUCAACAAGAUUUGCACUGGACAAGAAUCGAAUCAGACAAGGAGACAUCUCCCUAGACAUAACAGAUGUGCAAAAAAUUGACGAAGGCAACUAUCACUACGCAGUUUCAACAAUAAAAGUGCUACGUGAAGGAGACAUACUUUUGAAAGUAAAAUUGCCUUAUGAAGUUGAAUGUCCAAGUCCACAGAUAGCCUUCCCAAAUAUGAAUACCUUAAUAAAUUGCACAAUUAAGAACCUGAACAGUGAUAUGCUGACAUAUGUCUUCUGGACCAAAGAUCAUAAUAUUCUGGCCAGCUAUCGAAGAACAAAAAGUGAAGUAACACCAGUUCAACAAUCCAGAUUUUCUCUCAGCCAAGAUAUUAUCAACCAAGGAGACUUCUCCCUUUACAUCAGAGAUAUACAGCAAUCAGACAAUGGGCUGUAUCGGUAUUCACUGGGAAUUGAUAACACACAUGAAGAAGGAGAAGUGAUGCUUGAAAUAAGAGCUCAAGAAAUCCCUAGUGUCAGGAAAUGGAGAGUUGCCACAGUCUGUGCUGUAGGUGGAAUUUUGGCUUGUGUGGUCAUUGCUGCAGUUUUCCUCAUUAGACGUAGAGGUAAUCUAGUAAGCCACCCCACCCCACAUCCCACGGACAUAAGUGUUAGGUAAAUUGGUGACUGUAAGCUGACCCCAUGUGAGUCUGUGUGGGUGAAUUCAUGAGUGUGAUAGGCUGGUGUUUUGUCCAAGAUGGUUUCCUACUUUGUGCUCAAUACUGCCAGGAUAAGGUCCAGUUCCCCAUAACCCUGGAGUGGAUUACACAAGAACAGAUAAAUGCACCACUGUGACUGAAGUCUCCACAAGGAGACCAGAGAGUCUUCAGCUUGAAGUGCGUGAACCACAGAAUGAGGAAUCAGCUCAACUGGAUGAAUGACAAAGACGCGGAGACUUAAUAGCCUGAAAUAGGGUCAGCUGCAUUUCCUAUUUCGGAUGACCUUGGCUGCAAAAAUCUAUAUAUAUGGUCCUACAGAGAGUUGCAGGUUUUAAAGAUGAAUGUGGAAAUUUUCUGCCUCAUUCUAGUAAAACUUCUUAAAUCUGAACUCACUCAAAAGGAUUAAACUGUUAUGUUUUAUCCAAGGUUGCUUCCCUGGUUUAUGUUCCUUUUCUUUAUCAUUUUUGUUCAUUAAUCUAUUUUAAAUCAUUUAGUAUGGUUAUUCUCGUUAGUAUUGUUCCGUUCAUUUAUGACUUUGUCUAUAUAUUUAAAAUAUCAUUGUUUGUUAUUUUUAAAAAUAUUUAUGUACUGUUACUUUAAAUGUUUUAUAAUCCCUCUGUUUUGUCUGUGGUUCCCCAAAGAGAUGGGGUUACCUGUUAAAUUGAUAAAGAUUUUUGUGGACCUGUCUCUAACCCCAGUUAGAGUAUUUAUGGAGUACCCCAAGACGUAUUAUUACUGAGCUAUUAUUAUUAUUAUUGCUAUUCAUUUUAGAAUUUGAAAUCCUGUUCACCAUUUUGGGGCCUAGUCUGACCUGAAGCCUCCCACUUUCCUAGACUCAGGCUUGCCUUAGAGUGAGAUCUGGUUUUGUAGGCUAUUUUUGAAGGCCUUACACUUUACUGUUUUAUGAAGUCAGAAAAUUCAGAAGAGCUACUGGGUAAAGAUAUAACAUGUUUAGUGUUAUGUUACUUUUGUAGCGCAAGUCUGGCAUUUAAUAUGAUAAAUACUCAUGUCUUUAUGCAGUCAUAAAAAUAUAUUAUAAACAGAAAAAAAAAUGCAAAACAACUCAUCAAGGCUUCCAUUAAAACAUGAACACAAAUGAGCUUCGUAAUGUGCAAUAAAACCCCACAAACUUUCCAAGAAGUAAUGAAAUGAUAAUAAAACAAAGUAUGAACAAACUGUGUAACAGUAACGCAUGGCAAAUAAAUCGAACAAUAUUGUUAAAAUUGUAAAGAAAAAUGUUACAGGCCCCAUUAUUAGAUUUGUUUUGCAGAGACAAUUAGAUAAAAUACCUUGACCCUUAAAAAUACAUACAGUGGAACCUCUAGAUACGAGUUUAAUUCGUUCCAGCACUGAGCUUGUAUAGCGAAUUUCUCGUAUCUAGAACAAACGUCCCCAUUGAAAAUAAUGGAAAUCCAGUUAAUCCGUUCCGCAUCCCAAAUAUAUUAACAUAAAAAUCAAUUUUCCUAACAAAUAACACUGAUAAAUUAUAUAUACUGUAGUCUACCUUUAAUAAAUAACACUGGUAAAUAAUAUAACUGAUUAUUAAAAGAAUCAAAACAGGUGUCCAAAGUGCAGUAGAGCAUUCAAUAAAUCUUUAAUCCUUAAAACAGUUGUGAAGUGGAGGUUUAAAGUACAUAAGAAUAACAAUCCUUUAACACGAGGUUAAAACGUCAACGGGAAGCAGUCUUCAAGAAACAGAUGACAAUCCCCGGUGCUUCUUCUCUGUUAGCGUCUCACCUGCUUCUCCCAUGCGGGCUCUGCAACAGGCGAGACACUUAAUGCAGCUGACCUUCUCUACACCGUCCUGCUUCAGCUGUUUGGCUCGCCUGUUCAGCUACACGCGAGCCUGUACUCGCUCGCUCUCCCGCACCGACUUCCUACUGCUGCGGAUUCCUGCCUCCUCCUGCAACCUCCGUUCUCUCUCCUCUCCUCUCCUCUCUUUUCUUUUACUUCUUCUCCCCCUUAACCGGCUCGCGCUUCUCUAUAUAUGCGGGGAAGACAUGGCAGCUGCUAGGGUUACCACUUUUAAUACAAAAAAAUAAGGGACGCAUACGUAUUGAUUCAAAACGGGAUGCGCAAUUUCAUUCUCAAAUACUGGACGAUUCCGUAUUUUAAAGGACGGGUGGCAACCCUGCCCACCCCAUCAGCCACAGGACAAAUCAUGGAUGUGGGCAGUUUCCCACCUGUGCACUUAGGUGAGAAACGCAGACACCGCAGAUCACCCUGCGGCUCGCUACAGCUACCACGCCCCCUCGCUAAGCCGCGAGCUAUACCCACAGCCUGGCUCGUGGCUCGUUACGUGAGCCAAUGCUCGUAUUUAGAUCUGAAUUUUUCGCUCAUACUUUCCUCGUAUUUUGAAUUUCUCGUAUACAGAGGUGAUCGUAUCUCGAGGUUCCACUGUAUAUUCAAAAAUACUUAUAAUCUCCAUAAAAAAUACACCGUUUAAAUAAUUAAAAAAGUAAACAUUUGCGGCACAUGGAUUUUACUUCCUCACUGAAACACCCAGUUAGCUGUUGAUCACUUCACACUCCUGGCUUCAGACCUAUUCUAGGCCAAUUUAUACAGGUGGGUGAAUUAGUCCCUUAAAGAGACAACACCCACCAUAUUCC